GGUUAAGCGACUAAGCGUACACGGUGGAUGCCCUGGCAGUCAGAGGCGAUGAAGGACGUGCUAAUCUGCGAAAAGCGUCGGUAAGGUGAUAUGAACCGUUAUAACCGGCGAUGUCCGAAUGGGGAAACCCAGUGCAAUUCGUUGCACUAUCGUUAACUGAAUACAUAGGUUAACGAGGCGAACCGGGGGAACUGAAACAUCUAAGUACCCCGAGGAAAAGAAAUCAACCGAGAUUCCCCCAGUAGCGGCGAGCGAACGGGGAGCAGCCCAGAGUCUGAAUCAGCUUGUGUGUUAGUGGAACGGUCUGGAAAGUCCGACGGUACAGGGUGAUAGUCCCGUACACCAAAAUGCACAGGUUGUGAACUCGAAGAGUAGGGCGGGACACGUGGUAUCCUGUCUGAAUAUGGGGGGACCAUCCUCCAAGGCUAAAUACUCCUGACUGACCGAUAGUGAACCAGUACCGUGAGGGAAAGGCGAAAAGAACCCCGGCGAGGGGAGUGAAAAAGAACCUGAAACCGUGUACGUACAAGCAGUGGGAGCACCUUCGGGUGUGACUGCGUACCUUUUGUAUAAUGGGUCAGCGACUUAUAUUCUGUAGCAAGGUUAACCGUAUAGGGGAGCCGCAGGGAAACCGAGUCUUAACUGGGCGUUAAGUUGCAGGGUAUAGACCCGAAACCCGGUGAUCUAGCCAUGGGCAGGUUGAAGGUUGGGUAACACUAACUGGAGGACCGAACCGACUAAUGUUGAAAAAUUAGCGGAUGACUUGUGGCUGGGGGUGAAAGGCCAAUCAAACCGGGAGAUAGCUGGUUCUCCCCGAAAGCUAUUUAGGUAGCGCCUCGUGAACUCAUCUUCGGGGGUAGAGCACUGUUUCGGCUAGGGGGUCAUCCCGACUUACCAACCCGAUGCAAACUACGAAUACCGAAGAAUGUUAUCACGGGAGACACACGGCGGGUGCUAACGUCCGUCGUGAAGAGGGAAACAACCCAGACCGCCAGCUAAGGUCCCAAAGUCAUGGUUAAGUGGGAAACGAUGUGGGAAGGCACAGACAGCCAGGAUGUUGGCUUAGAAGCAGCCAUCAUUUAAAGAAAGCGUAAUAGCUCACUGGUCGAGUCGGCCUGCGCGGAAGAUGUAACGGGGCUAAACCAUGCACCGAAGCUGCGGCAGCGACACUAUGUGUUGUUGGGUAGGGGAGCGUUCUGUAAGCCUGCGAAGGUGUGCUGUGAGGCAUGCUGGAGGUAUCAGAAGUGCGAAUGCUGACAUAAGUAACGAUAAAGCGGGUGAAAAGCCCGCUCGCCGGAAGACCAAGGGUUCCUGUCCAACGUUAAUCGGGGCAGGGUGAGUCGACCCCUAAGGCGAGGCCGAAAGGCGUAGUCGAUGGGAAACAGGUUAAUAUUCCUGUACUUGGUGUUACUGCGAAGGGGGACGGAGAAGGCUAUGUUAGCCGGGCGACGGUUGUCCCGGUUUAAGCAUGUAGGCUGGUUGUCCAGGCAAAUCCGGAUAAUCAAGGCUGAGGUGUGAUGACGAGGCACUACGGUGCUGAAGUAACAAAUGCCCUGCUUCCAGGAAAAGCCUCUAAGCAUCAGGUAACAUUAAAUCGUACCCCAAACCGACACAGGUGGUCAGGUAGAGAAUACCAAGGCGCUUGAGAGAACUCGGGUGAAGGAACUAGGCAAAAUGGUGCCGUAACUUCGGGAGAAGGCACGCUGGUGUGUAGGUGAAGUCCCUGCGGAUGGAGCUGAGACCAGUCGAAGAUACCAGCUGGCUGCAACUGUUUAUUAAAAACACAGCACUGUGCAAACACGAAAGUGGACGUAUACGGUGUGACGCCUGCCCGGUGCCGGAAGGUUAAUUGAUGGGGUUAUCCGUAAGGAGAAGCUCUUGAUCGAAGCCCCGGUAAACGGCGGCCGUAACUAUAACGGUCCUAAGGUAGCGAAAUUCCUUGUCGGGUAAGUUCCGACCUGCACGAAUGGCGUAAUGAUGGCCAGGCUGUCUCCACCCGAGACUCAGUGAAAUUGAACUCGCUGUGAAGAUGCAGUGUACCCGCGGCAAGACGGAAAGACCCCGUGAACCUUUACUAUAGCUUGACACUGAACAUUGAGCCUUGAUGUGUAGGAUAGGUGGGAGGCUUUGAAGCGUGGACGCCAGUCUGCGUGGAGCCAACCUUGAAAUACCACCCUUUAAUGUUUGAUGUUCUAACGUUGGCCCCUUACCGGGGUUGCGGACAGUGUCUGGUGGGUAGUUUGACUGGGGCGGUCUCCUCCCAAAGCGUAACGGAGGAGCACGAAGGUUAGCUAAUCCUGGUCGGACAUCAGGAGGUUAGUGCAAUGGCAUAAGCUAGCUUGACUGCGAGCGUGACGGCGCGAGCAGGUGCGAAAGCAGGUCAUAGUGAUCCGGUGGUUCUGAAUGGAAGGGCCAUCGCUCAACGGAUAAAAGGUACUCCGGGGAUAACAGGCUGAUACCGCCCAAGAGUUCAUAUCGACGGCGGUGUUUGGCACCUCGAUGUCGGCUCAUCACAUCCUGGGGCUGAAGUAGGUCCCAAGGGUAUGGCUGUUCGCCAUUUAAAGUGGUACGCGAGCUGGGUUUAGAACGUCGUGAGACAGUUCGGUCCCUAUCUGCCGUGGGCGCUGGAGAAUUGAGGGGGCUGCUCCUAGUACGAGAGGACCGGAGUGGACGCAUCACUGGUGUUCGGGUUGUCAUGCCAAUGGCACUGCCCGGUAGCUAAAUGCGGAAGAGAUAAGUGCUGAAAGCAUCUAAGCACGAAACUUGCCCCGAGAUGAGUUCUCCCUGAGACUUUAAGUCUCCUGAAGGAACGUUAAAGACGAUGACGUUGAUAGGCCGGGUGUGUAAGCGCAGCGAUGCGUUGAGCUAACCGGUACUAAUGAACCGUGAGGCUUAACCUU
rnacentral:rRNA from 1 species